rnacentral:misc_RNA from 1 species
AUUAAUUAUAGCAUCUUCUCUCUUAAACCUGUUAUUGAUCUUUGCAAUCUUGGCGUUUUGCCAUGCGGAUAUCUUUGUCUCAACCUCUUCUUUCUUCACUCUCUGCACCGACGACACCUCCGCCUCACCACCGCCCAACUGGUGGUUCCCAACCGUUGUUGAGCUUGAACUGGGGUCUGGGUCCAACGGGUUAUUAUCAGGGACAAUAGCCAAAGGGUUAAUCUCUUCAGGCACAUCAUCCUCUCCAAUCCUA